AGAGUUUGAUCCUGGCUCAGAAUCAACGCUGGCGGCGCGCCUAACACAUGCAAGUCGAACGAGAAAGCGGGGGCAACCUCGUGAGUAAAGUGGCGUACGGGUGAGUAACACGUGGAUCAUCUACCCUUUUGUGGGGGAUAACCCUGGGAAACCGGGGCUAAUACCGCAUAAGUCCGAGAGGAGAAAGCAGCAAUGCGCAGGAGGAGGAGUCCGCGGCCGAUUAGCUAGUUGGUAGGGUAAAAGCCUACCAAGGCUCCGAUCGGUAGCCGGCCUGAGAGGGCACACGGCCACACUGGCACUGAAACACGGGCCAGACUCCUACGGGAGGCAGCAGUGGGGAAUCUUGCACAAUGGGGGCAACCCUGAUGCAGCGACGCCGCGUGAGCGAUGAAGCCCUUCGGGGUGUAAAGCUCUUUCGGCAGGGAAGAUUAUGACGGUACCUGCAGAAGCAGCUGCGGCUAACUACGUGCCAGCAGCCGCGGUAAUACGUAGGCAGCAAGCGUUGUUCGGAGUUACUGGGCGUAAAGGGUGUGUAGGCGGUUCUCUAAGUCUGGUGUGAAAUCUCCCGGCUCAACUGGGAGGGUGCGCCGAAAACUGGAGGGCUAGAGUGUGGGAUGGGAGAGUGGAAUUCCUGGUGUAGCGGUGAAAUGCGUAGAUAUCAGGAGGAACACCUGUGGUGUAGACGGCUCUCUGGACCGCAACUGACGCUGAGACACGAAAGCGUGGGUAGCAAACAGGAUUAGAUACCCUGGUAGUCCACGCCCUAAACGAUGCAUAUUUGGUGUGGGCCAUUCAUUUGGUCCGUGCCGGAGCUAACGCGUUAAAUAUGCCGCCUGGGGAGUACGGUCGCA
rnacentral:rRNA from 1 species